UACGGGGGGAGCAAGCGUUGUUCGGAAUCACUGGGCGUAAAGGGCGUGUAGGCGGUUCGGUAAGUGGGAUGUGAAAUGCCCGGGCUCACCCCGGGACCUGCAUCCCAUACUGCUGAGCUUGAGUACAGGAGAGGGUGGGGGAAUUCCUGGUGUAGCGGUGAAAUGCGCAGAUAUCAGGAGGAACACCAGCGGCGAAGGCGGCGCUCUGGGCCGGUACUGACACUGAGGAGCGAAAGCGUGGGUAGCAAACAGG
rnacentral:rRNA from 1 species